rnacentral:rRNA from 1 species
UGUCAGUGGCAGACGGGUGAGUAACGCGUGGGAACAUACCUCUUGGUUCGGAACAACACAGGGAAACUUGUGCUAAUACCGGAUAAGCCCUUACGGGGAAAGAUUUAUCGCCGAGAGAUUGGCCCGCGUCUGAUUAGCUAGUUGGUGUGGUAAAGGCGCACCAAGGCGACGAUCAGUAGCUGGUCUGAGAGGAUGAUCAGCCACAUUGGGACUGAGACACGGCCCAAACUCCUACGGGAGGCAGCAGUGGGGAAUAUUGGACAAUGGGCGCAAGCCUGAUCCAGCCAUGCCGCGUGAGUGAUGAAGGCCUUAGGGUUGUAAAGCUCUUUUGUACGGGAAGAUAAUGACGGUACCGUAAGAAUAAGCCCCGGCUAACUUCGUGCCAGCAGCCGCGGUAAUACGAAGGGGGCUAGCGUUGCUCGGAAUCACUGGGCGUAAAGGGUGCGUAGGCGGGUUUUUAAGUCAGAGGUGAAAUCCUGGAGCUCAACUCCAGAACUGCCUUUGAUACUGAAAGUCUUGAGUAUGGGAGAGGUGAGUGGAACUGCGAGUGUAGAGGUGAAAUUCGUAGAUAUUCGCAAGAACACCAGUGGCGAAGGCGGCUCACUGGCCCAUUACUGACGCUGAGGCACGAAAGCGUGGGGAGCAAACAGGAUUAGAUACCCUGGUAGUCCACGCCGUAAACGAUGAAUGC